rnacentral:sRNA from 1 species
GCCGGGUGUGGUAACGCACACCUGUAAUCCCUGGGGCUCGGGAGGCUGAGGCAGGAGGAUCUUGAGUUCAAAGCCAGCCUCAG